rnacentral:rRNA from 1 species
UACGAAGGGGGCUAGCGUUGCUCGGAAUCACUGGGCGUAAAGGGUGCGUAGGCGGGUCUUUAAGUCAGGGGUGAAAUCCUGGAGCUCAACUCCAGAACUGCCUUUGAUACUGAGGGUCUUGAGUUCGGGAGAGGUGAGUGGAACUGCGAGUGUAGAGGUGAAAUUCGUUGAUAUUCGCAAGAACACCAGUGGCGAAGGCGGCUCACUGGCCCGAUACUGACGCUGAGGCACGGAAGCGUGGGGAGCAAACAGG